rnacentral:rRNA from 1 species
UACGAAGGGGGCUAGCGUUGCUCGGAAUCACUGGGCGUAAAGGGUGCGUCGGCGGUUCUUUAAGUCAGGGGUGAAAUCCUGGAGCUCAACUCCAGAACUGCCUUUGAUACUGAGGAUCUUGAGUUCGGGAGAGGUGAGUGGAACUGCGAGUGUAGAGGUGAAAUUCGUAGAUAUUCGCAAGAACACCAGUGGCGAAGGCGGCUCACUGGCCCGGUACUGACGCUGAGGUGCGAAAGCGUGGGGAGCAAACAGG